rnacentral:rRNA from 1 species
GACGAACGCUGGCGGCGUGCUUAACACAUGCAAGUCGAACGGAAAGGCCCUGCUUUUGUGGGGUGCUCGAGUGGCGAACGGGUGAGUAACACGUGAGUAACCUGCCCUUGACUUUGGGGUAACUUCAGGAAACUGGGGCUCAUACCGGAUAGGAGCUCCUGCUGCAUGGUGGGGGUUGGAAAGUUUGGGCGGUUGGGGAUGGACUGGCAGGUUAUCAGCUUGUUGGUGGGGUAGUGGGUGACCACGGCUUUGAGGGGUAGGCCGCAUGAGAGGGUGACCGGCCACCAUGGUCCUGAGAUACGCCCCAGACUGCUACCUUAGGCAAUGGGGGGGAGCAUUGCAGAAUGGGCGGGCGCCUGUUGUGGAAAUGCCCCGUGCGGGAAGACGGGUUUCGGGUGGUAAACCACUUUCGCCUGUGACGAAGCGUUAGUGACGGUACCGGGUAAAGAAGCACCGGCUAACUACGUG